GAUGAACGCUGGCGGCGUGCCUAAUACAUGCAAGUCGAGCGAACAGACGAGGAGCUUGCUCCUCUGAUGUUAGCGGCGGACGGGUGAGUAACACGUGGAUAACCUACCUAUAAGACUGGGAUAACUUCGGGAAACCGGAGCUAAUACCGGAUAACAUGUUGAACCGCAUGGUUCAACAGUGAAAGACGGUCUUGCUGUCACUUAUAGAUGGAUCCGCGCCGCAUUAGCUAGUUGGUAAGGUAACGGCUUACCAAGGCAACGAUGCGUAGCCGACCUGAGAGGGUGAUCGGCCACACUGGAACUGAGACACGGUCCAGACUCCUACGGGAGGCAGCAGUAGGGAAUCUUCGGCAAUGGGCGAAAGCCUGACGGAGCAACACCGCGUGAGUGAAGAAGGUCUUCGGAUCGUAAAGCUCUGUUAUUAGGGAAGAAAAAAUGUGUAAGUAAAUACGCACGUCUUGACGGUACCUAAUCAGAAAGCCCCGGCUAACUACGUG
rnacentral:rRNA from 1 species